rnacentral:rRNA from 1 species
UCGCUCAGAUUGAACGCUGGCGGCAUGCCUUACACAUGCAAGUCGAACGGCAGCACGGACUUCGGUCUGGUGGCGAGUGGCGAACGGGUGAGUAAUAUAUCGGAACAUACCCUAGAGUGGGGGAUAACGUAGCGAAAGUUACGCUAAUACCGCAUACGAACUAAGGUUGAAAGUGGGGGAUCGCAAGACCUCAUGCUCAUGGAGUGGCCGAUAUCUGAUUAGCUAGUUGGUGAGGUAAAGGCUCACCAAGGCGACGAUCAGUAGCUGGUCUGAGAGGACGACCAGCCACACUGGAACUGAGACACGGUCCAGACUCCUACGGGAGGCAGCAGUGGGGAAUUUUGGACAAUGGGGGCAACCCUGAUCCAGCAAUGCCGCGUGAGUGAAGAAGGCCUUCGGGUUGUAAAGCUCUUUUGUCAGGGAAGAAACGGUGAUCUCUAAUAUAGAUUGCUAAUGACGGUAC